GGAAGGAGGCUGCAAAGGACAGGGCCAGGCUCUGCCCAGUGGUGCCCAGUGCCAGGACAGGAGGCCGUGGGCACAAACUGGAGCAGGGGAGGCUCCCUCUGACCAUCAGGAAGCCCUUCUGUGCUGGGCGGGUGCUGGAGCACUGGCCCGGGCUGCCCAGAGAGGCGGUGGGGUCUCCUCCUUGGAGAUCUUCAGAAGCCGCCUGGACGUGGUGCUGGGCACCCUGCUCUGGGUGGCCCUGCUGGA